rnacentral:rRNA from 1 species
UACGUAGGGUGCAAGCGUUAAUCGGAAUUACUGGGCGUAAAGCGUACGCAGGCGGCUUUGCAAGACAGGUGUGAAAUCCCCGGGCCUAACCUGGGAACUGCAUUUGUGACUGCAUGGCUAGAGUUUGGCAGAGGGGGGUGGAAUUCCACGUGUAGCAGUGAAAUGCGUAGAGAUGUGGAGGAACACCGAUGGCGAAGGCAGCCCCCUGGGCUGAGAUUGACGCUCAGGCACGAAAGCGUGGGGAGCAAACAGG